CCCUUAGACGUUCUGGGCCGCACGCGCGCUACACUGACCAGUGCAACAAGCAUCCGUCCUUGGCCGACAGGCUCGGGCAAUCUUUGAACGCUGGUCGUGAUGGGGAUAGACUUUUGCAAUUUUUGGUCUUCAACGAAGAAUUCCUAGUAAACGCAAGUCAUCAACUUGCAUUGAUUACGUCCCUGCCCUUUGUACACACCGCCCGUCGCACCUACCGAUUGAAUGGUCCGGUGAAGCCUCCGGAUUGGCGCGCACCUCGGUGCCGCCGAGAAGUUGGCUAAACCUUACCAUUUAGAGGAAGGUGAAGUCGUAACA
rnacentral:rRNA from 1 species